rnacentral:rRNA from 1 species
UGAGGAAUAUUGGUCAAUGGACGAGAGUCUGAACCAGCCAAGUAGCGUGCAGGAUGACGGCCCUAUGGGUUGUAAACUGCUUUUGUUUGGGAAUAAUCGACAUUACGUGUAAUGUUUUGCAUGUACCAUUCGAAUAAGGACCGGCUAAUUCCGUGCCAGCAGCCGCGGUAAUACGGAAGGUCCAGGCGUUAUCCGGAUUUAUUGGGUUUAAAGGGAGUGUAGGCGGUUGGUUAAGCGUGUUGUGAAAUGUAGAUGCUCAACAUCUGACUUGCAGCGCGAACUGGCUGACUUGAGUACACACAACGUAGGCGGAAUUCGUGGUGUAGCGGUGAAAUGCUUAGAUAUCAUGAAGAACUCCGAUUGCGAAGGCAGCUUACGGGAGUGUUACUGACGCUUAAGCUCGAAGGUGCGGGUAUCGAACAGG